rnacentral:rRNA from 1 species
UACGGAGGGUGCGAGCGUUGUUCGGAAUCAUUGGGCGUAAAGGGCGUGCAGGCGGCUGGGUAAGUCUGAUGUGAAAGCCCGGGGCUCAACCCCGGAAGUGCAUUGGAAACUGUCCAGCUUGAGUACCGGAGAGGAUGGGGGAAUUCCCGGUGUAGAGGUGAAAUUCGUAGAGAUCGGGAGGAAUACCAGUGGCGAAGGCGCCCAUCUGGACGGAUACUGACGCUGAGACGCGAAAGCGUGGGGAGCAAACAGG